rfam:Triticum urartu cultivar G1812 contig662488, whole genome shotgun sequence.
CAACUACACCCUUCGUUUUGAAUUACUCGUCGUAAAAAUGGAUGUAUCUAGAUGUAUUUUAGUUCUAGAUACAUUCAUUUCUGCGACGAGUAAUUUGGAACGGAGGGAGUACCUU